rnacentral:rRNA from 1 species
GACGAACGCUGGCGGCGUGCUUAACACAUGCAAGUCGGGCGGUAAGGCCCUUUCGGGGGUACACGAGCGGCGAACGGGUGAGUAACACGUGGGUGACCUGCCCUUAGCUCUGGGAUAAGCCUGGGAAACUGGGUCUAAUACCGGAUAUGACUCCAUGACGCAUGGUUGUGGGGUGGAAAGCCUUGUGCGGCUAGGGGAUGGGCCCGCGGCCUAUCAGCUUGUUGGUGGGUNAUGGCCUACCAAGGCGACGACGGGUAGCCGGCCUGAGAGGGCGACCGGCCACACUGGGACUGAGACACGGCCCAGACUCCUACGGGAGGCAGCAGUGGGGAAUCUUGCGCAAUGGGCGAAAGCCUGACGCAGCGACGCCGCGUGAGGGAUGACGGCCUCGGUGUAAC